rnacentral:misc_RNA from 1 species
GCUUCAAGUGUCUUCAUGACUCAAACCUCAUAGAUUGCGCCCAAAUCGAAUCCUUGAAAGUUAAAACCCUAGUUUAUCUUCUUACAAAAUCUUUUAAAUUCUAUCUUCUAGCUGCUUUUCUGCUUCUCCGAUGGUUAUCAUCCAUAGUUAUUCCCUUGUUUCCCCUCUCGAAACCAGAGCUAUCUAAUCGCUUCAUUUGCCCC